AACGCAAAUAUCAUAUUGACUUUCUCUCGCCCUACUUCUAAAGAUAGAUAGAAAAGGUUGGAGAGAAUGACUUUCUGAAAUUCUCUCCUUUCUAAAGCUGCGCAAGGCGGCCCCCCCAGAACAAAGCCCCACCCCUCUUUUCCCCCCUUUAAUGAAGGACCCUCGCCUCGCUUCCUAUUCAUUUGUGGGUCUGGACCCGAGGGCCUUUUUUUUUCAAGAGGUGAUUUCGAGAAUCAACCAACGGAAAAAUCCGUAGCCCAGGUGACUCACAGCCUCCCUCUCGCCCAAAUAAAUGAAAUUUGGGCCCGAAGGCCUUUUUAAGAGGUGAUUUCGAGAAUCAACCAACGGAAAAAUUUGUAGCCCAGGUCACUCACAACCUCCCUCUCACCCAAAUAAAUGAAAUGGGAUGAAUCAAAUUAAUAAGCUUUUUGAUUGAUUCAGGGUGCAGCGAAGCCAAAUUAAAUCAAGGAAAUGGGGCUUACUUUUCCCGAGGCUGAUUCAUCCAAUUAAAAUUUAGCUAUGCUAAUGGAAGAGAAAAAGUUUUCAGAUGAGAUGGACCCCCAAGAGAUGAGCGAGAACCCCCAAUUUCUUAGGGGUCACACUCUGUCCCGCUUGGUGGACGAAAUCUUCUCUCCUUUUAGAAUUCUUUCUCCCACACACCUUUUUUUCCCUAUUUCACCGAUGAGGAAAGAAUAAUCUUCCAAGCAGACAGAGACAAAAAAUUUCCAUUAGAUUCAUUCCUAAGCUUGCUUUGUUGCAGCAAGAUGAUCAGUCCAGGAGUGCUGGAGAGAAGAGAAAGCGGUAAAAACCUCUCUUAUUCGGUCACCGAGAAGUCGGACGACUCUUCAGUAACCCAGGGUGAUCCGACCCCUUCGACGCUUUUUUCGCUGUAUACCCCCUCCAUCCUUCGGAAGUGGAAGAAAGGGUACUCUAAUUUGAAUACAUAGUAGGGCCCCAGAACGCUAAAAGGUGGGUACCCAGGGUGAUCCGACCCCUUCGAUGCUUUUUUGUUGUAUACCCCCUCCAUCCUUCGGAAGUGGAAGAAAGGAUACUCUAAUUUGAAUACAUAGUAGGUCCCCAGAACACUAAAAGGUGGGGGAACUAGAGUUGUCACGAUAGAAAAGAUAAAUAAAUAAAUGACUAUAAGGAACUAACGACUCUCUCUUCUUAAACAACCUAUAUCCUCCACACUUAAUCAACAUUUGAUAGAUUAUCCAACCCCUAGCAAUCUUAGUUAUUGGUUCGGUUCGUUAGCUGGUAUUUGUUUAGUCAUUCAGAUAGUGACUGGCGUUUUUUAGCUAUGCAUUACACACCUCAUGUAGAUCUAACUUCCAAUAGUGUAGAACACAUUAUGAGAGAUGUUGAAGGGGGCUGGUUGCUCCGUUAUAUUCAUGCUAAAGGGGCAAGUAUGUUUUUCAUUGUGGUUCACCUUCAUAUUUUUUGUGGUCUAUAUCAUGCCAGUUAUAGCAGUCCUAGGGAAUUUGUUAGGUGUCUCGGAGUUGUAAUCUUCCUAUUAAUGAUUGUGACAGCUUUUAUAGGAUAUGUACUACCUUGGGGUCAGAUGAGCUUUUGGGGAGCUACAGUAAUUACAAGCUUAGCUAGCGCCAUACCUGUAGUAGGAGAUACCAUAGUGACUUGGCUUUGGGGUGGGUUCUCCGUGGACAAUGCCACCUUAAAUAUUUUUUAGUCUUCAUCAUUUACUCCCCUUUAUUUUAGUAGG
rnacentral:lncRNA from 1 species